rnacentral:rRNA from 1 species
CNAUGCAGUCGACGGCAGCACGGACUUCGGUCUGGUGGCGAGUGGCGAACGGGUGAGUAAUGUAUCGGAACGUGCCUAGUAGCGGGGGAUAACUACGCGAAAGCGUAGCUAAUACCGCAUACGCCCUACGGGGGAAAGCAGGGGAUCGCAAGACCUUGCACUAUUAGAGCGGCCGAUAUCGGAUUAGCUAGUUGGUGGGGUAACGGCUCACCAAGGCGACGAUCCGUAGCUGGUUUGAGAGGACGACCAGCCACACUGGGACUGAGACACGGCCCAGACUCCUACGGGAGGCAGCAGUGGGGAAUUUUGGACAAUGGGGGAAACCCUGAUCCAGCCAUCCCGCGUGUGCGAUGAAGGCCUUCGGGUUGUAAAGCACUUUUGGCAGGAAAGAAACGUCAUGGGCUAAUACCCCGUGAAACUGACGGUACCUGCAGAAUAAGCACCGGCUAACUACGUGCCAGCAGCCGCGGUAAUACGUAGGGUGCAAGCGUUAAUCGGAAUUACUGGGCGUAAAGCGUGCGCAGGCGGUUCGGAAAGAAAGAUGUGAAAUCCCAGAGCUUAACUUUGGAACUGCAUUUUUAACUACCGAGCUAGAGUGUGUCAGAGGGAGGUGGAAUUCCGCGUGUAGCGGUAAA